GAUGGCCCAGUGGUUAGAGCAUCCGCCUCAGAUGCGGGAGGUCGCUGGUUCAAACCCCUGCCGAGUCA